UCAAAUGAAUUGACGGGGGCCCGCACAAGCAGCGGAGCGUGUGGUUAAUUCGACGCAACGCGAAAACCUUACCUGGGUUUGACAUGCCGAGUACCCGAUGGAAACAUUGGGGUGCCCCGUAAGGGGAACUUGGACACAGGUGCUGCAUGGCUGUCGUCAGCUCGUGCCGUGAGGUGUUGGGUUAAGUCCCGCAACGAGCGCAACCCUCACCCUUAGUUGCCAUCAUUAAGUUGGGCACCCUAAGGGAACUGCCGCAGUUAAUGCGGAGGAAGGUGGGGAUGACGUCAAGUCCCCAUGGCCCUUAUAUCCAGGGCUACACACGUGCUACAAUGGACGGUACAAAGGGUCGCGAACCUGCAAAGGGGAGCUAACCCCAGAAAACCGCUCUCAGUUCGGAUUGGAGUCUGCAACCCGACUCCAUGAAGUUGGAAUCGCUAGUAAUCGCGGAUCAGAGCGCCGCGGUGAAUACGUUCCCGGGCCUU
rnacentral:rRNA from 1 species